CCUACGGGAGGCUGCAGUGGGGAAUAUUGGACAAUGGGCGAAAGCCUGAUCCAGCCAUGCCGCGUGUGUGAAGAAGGCCUUCGGGUUGUAAAGCACUUUCAGUGGGGAAGAAAGCCUUGGGGCUAAUACCCUCGAGGAAGGACAUCACCCACAGAAGAAGCACCGGCUAACUCCGUGCCAGCAGCCGCGGUAAUACGGAGGGUGCGAGCGUUAAUCGGAAUUACUGGGCGUAAAGCGCGCGUAGGCGGUCUGAUAAGCCGGUUGUGAAAGCCCCGGGCUCAACCUGGGAACGGCAUCCGGAACUGUCAGGCUAGAGUGCAGGAGAGGAAGGUAGAAUUCCCGGUGUAGCAGUGAAAUGCGUAGAGAUCGGGAGGAAUACCAGUGGCGAAGGCGGCCUUCUGGACUGACACUGACGCUGAGGUGCGAAAGCGUGGGUAGCAAACAGGAUUAGAUACCCGGGUAGUC
rnacentral:rRNA from 1 species